AUUGAACGCUGGCGGCAGGACUAACACAUGCAAGUCGAACGAGUGGCGGACGGGUGAGUAAUGUCUGGGAAACUGCCUGAUGGAGGGGGAUAACUACUGGAAACGGUAGCUAAUACCGCAUACCAUCAGAUGUGCCCAGAUGGGAUUCGCUUGUUGGUGGGGUAACGGCUCACCAAGGCGACGAUCCCUAGCUGGUCUGUGAGGAUGAGCAGCUACACUGGAUCGUAGACACGGUGCAGACUCCAACGAGAGGGAGCAGUGGGGAAUAUUGCACAAUGGGCACAAGCCUGAUGCAGCCAUGCCGCGUGUAUGAAGAAGGCCUUAGGAUUGUAAAGUACUUUCAGCUGGGAGGCGUUACCCGCAGAAGAGGCACGGGCAAACUCCGUGCCAGCCGCCGCGGUAAUAC
rnacentral:rRNA from 1 species